UUCUAUAUUUCUAUUAUCCUUUGCUUUUUAUUUGGCCCUGAUUUUACAUGUAAAGCACCUGGUUUUGCUAACUAAUAACUUGGCUUUGAGUAAAAGAAGUGAUUUAUUGUGGAUUCUAUAUUCCUAUUAUCUUUUGCUUUUUAUUUGGCCCUGAUUUUACAUGUAAAGCACCUUAUUUCCCUAUGUAACAUGUUACUCUGGCUUGCCAUGACAAGUUUGAUCUGUAUGAGUUGAAUCACAUUUGUUUCUCUUCAUUGUUAGAUAUAUGGUAUGGGGUUAUCUAUUAUUACAAUAAAAU
rnacentral:lncRNA from 1 species